CAUCACCUGCAACCUCUUCCACCAUCUCCCAUCUUCCAUCUCCACCCAAAUUUGAGGGUUUUUAGGUCUAAAAUAGUGUAAAACCGUGCGGGUGACCCAAGGAGUUUUGACGGUGAUUUUGCCAUUCCGGCUAGUCUCACCACCCACCACCACCCUUAAUCAACUCCCCUUGGACCCAGGAACAAGACCCAAUCAGUUGUAGGGGCGUUGGAACACCAAGGAAGCCGAAUUGAAGAACACCCACCUUAGGGUUUCGUUAGGUGCGAGCAAAUUUUAAGCCCUUCCUGGCCAAAUUGGACUCGACCAUAGGCGGUGAUAGAACGUGAUGCCUUGACUAUUGUGCUAGAGUACAUUGGCACGGACUCCAGACAUUGAUCGUGUAGGUGACAGGUUUGAGUAGACUCCGAGAAGUUUGUAGGUGGGGGUAGCAGUGCAGUUAUCAGAGACUUUGAGCGUUAGGUUACCCUUGUUUCACUCUUGUACUUUAUCUUUUGGGACUUUCUUUUGAGCACCUCAUACUUGUUCUUAGUAAAGAAAAGAUUAUGCUUCUUUUUGGGAUGUACAUAUUUGUAAAUAUUUUGUGGAGAACUUAGCCACCUUCACAUUAUUUUGGGUUAUCAGUUAAAGUA